rnacentral:tRNA from 1 species
GCCCCCGUUGUGUAGCGGCCUAGCACGUCGCCCUCUCAAGGCGGUAGCGCCGGUUCGAAUCCGGUCGGGGGUAC